CCUACGGGUGGCAGCAGUGAGGAAUAUUGGUCAAUGGACGAGAGUCUGAACCAGCCAAGUAGCGUGAAGGAUGACUGCCCUAUGGGUUGUAAACUUCUUUUAUAAAGGAAUAAAACGAGGCACGUGUGCCUUUUUGCAUGUCCUUUAUGAAUAAGGAUCGGCUAACUCCGUGCCAGCAGCCGCGGUAAUACGGAGGAUCCGAGCGUUAUCCGGAUUUAUUGGGGUUAAAGGGGUCGUAGAUGGGUUGUUAAGUCAGUUGGGAAAGUGUGCGGGAGAAAGGUAAAAUUGCAAUUGAUACUGGCGGUCUUGAGGACACUUGAGGUAUGCGGAAUGCGUGGUGUAGCGGUGAAAUGCUUAGAUAUCACGAAGAACCACGAUUGCGAAGGCAGCUUACUAAACUGUGACUGACAUUGAGGCACGAAAGUGUGGGUAUCGAACAGGAUUAGAUACCCGAGUAGUC
rnacentral:rRNA from 1 species